CUACGGGCGGCUGCAGUGAGGAAUUUUGCGCAAUGGGGGAAACCCUGACGCAGCAACGCCGCGUGAGUGAUGAAGGCCUUCGGGUCGUAAAGCUCUGUCAAGUGGGAAGAACCUAUCCAAGGGUAAUAUUCUUGGGUACUGACGGUACCACUGAAGGAAGCACCGGCUAACUCCGUGCCAGCAGCCGCGGUAAUACGGGGGGUGCAAGCGUUAUUCGGAAUUAUUGGGCGUAAAGGGCGCGUAGGCGGUUUUGUUAGUCAGAUGUGAAAGCCCGGGGCUCAACCCCGGAAGUGCAUUUGAUACUGCAAGACUUGAGUAUGGGAGAGGGAAGUGGAGUUCCUGGUGUAGAGGUGAAAUUCGUAGAUAUCAGGAGGAACAUCUGUGGCGAAGGCGACUUCCUGGACCAAUACUGACGCUAAGGCGCGAAGGCGUGGGUAGCAAACAGGAUUAGAUACCCUGGUAGUC
rnacentral:rRNA from 1 species